rnacentral:rRNA from 1 species
AAACAUAGAUCGAAUUUAACCAAUUUUAUCCGCCCGGGAAUUACGGACAUUAGUCUAAAAACCAAAGGACUUGGCGGUGCUUCACAUCCACCUAGAGGAGCCUGUUCUAUAACCGAUAACCCCCGUUGAACCUCACCCCCCCUUGCCCGUCCCGCCUAUAUACCGCCGCCGUCAGCCUACCCUGAGAAGGACUAAUCGUACGCAGAAUUGGCACAGCCCAAAACGUCAGGUCGAGGUGUAGCGAAUGGAGGGGGAAGAAAUGGGCUACAUUUGCUUACCCCAAGCAAACACGAAUGUCUUCGCUGAAAAACGAAACUGAAGGAGGAUUUAGCAGUAAGAGGGGAUCAGAGCGCCCC